GUUUUAGUAAUUUAAUAAAAAUAUUGGUCUUGUAAAUCAAAUUUAAGAAUUUCUUCUAAAACU
rnacentral:tRNA from 1 species